GACGAACCGUGCAAACGUUGUUCGGAAUCACUGGGCAUAAAGGGCGCGUAGGCGGCUUAUCAAGUCAGGGGUGAAAUCCGGCAGCUCAACUGUCGAAGUGCCUUUGAUACUGACGAGCUCGAGGGAGGUAGGGGUCUGUGGAACUUCCGGUGGAGCGGUGAAAUGCGUUGAUAUCGGAAGGAACGCCGGUGGCGAAAGCGACGGACUGGACCUCUUCUGACGCUGAGGCGCGAAAGCUAGGGGAGCAAACGGG
rnacentral:rRNA from 1 species